AGGAGCGACAGAGAAGGAAUCGUUGCUGCCCUCCAAAUAUAAAAAACUCCAGCUCUGUCUAGAUCAGGGAUAGGCAACUCCAGUCCUGGAGGGCCAAUGUGUAUGCAGGAUUUCACUGCCAGCAGUUAACCUGGCUUAAUCAGCUAAUUUGCUAUAUGCACCAUGACUGAUUCGCUCAUAAAUUAGACCACAAUAAAAAUACAACAAAACAAGAACAUUUAUGAGGUGCUGUUUAUAUCACAGAAUGUGGGCAUAAAUUACAGAUCAUGUAAAUGAUUUGGCUAAUUAAAUCAUUAUGAGCAGAAGCUGGUCUGAAAUCCAGAAACAGAUAUGGCCCGCCUUGCCCAUCUUUGGUCUAGAUCAAACUAGUUAUACAAUACCUAUAUCAGACGAUAUAUUGGUGCAUAUAUACAAAGGUACAUUCUUGUUCUAGACCAGCGAUAUGAACGUGGAAUUUCCCCAGGGCUACAAUUUGAGACACCCUGGUGUAGGGAUUUAAAUACUGAGAUUCCCUGACGUAGAAGGGGCAGGCCCAUUCUGCACCUGUUAAAGGUAAACAACCAGCCAUUCCUCACUCAACUCGGUGACAGCGAGACCCAGCACUGCAGCCACAUGGUCUGUCCGUCUUUUCUGUGGAGAGAUCAGUGUCGUGUUUAUUUGCACUUCGUUUGCAAACGAUUGUAGCUGAAUGUGUUUUUCUCGGCACCGCUAGACUCCACGAACGACACCGCUCCUCGUCAGGGAAAUACACUGAAGACUGCCUGUUCAAAUCAAGUCAGAAGCACCAUGUCUACCAGUGAGACACACAUGAAUGAAGCGGACAAACACUUUCACAUGCAAGAAUGCGAGAGCGGGAUCCUCCUUCACCAUCCGGCUGAAUCCUGUAUAAAGCGAUUGCUACUGCUUUUCCGGAAAACAACGGCAAACAAGGACCGCCAGGAGCCAGAUUCGCCACCUAGGCGCCGGCAGCGCCUCUUGCUGGCUAUCAUCAUCCUUUUCAGUUUGACCGUCAUGGUGCUGCUCCUUUUGUGGAAUUACCAGUGCAUUUUCAUCGAGCGCCUCUGCCGGGGACAUGAGGAGAGCGCUGUCUUCCCAGUUUUUGGAGGGUGGGUGACUACGCCCACCGCGGGGAGCCUCGGCCGAGAGUAGAUCCAGAGCGUCAUUCGAUCUCACCCCCAACCCCAUUCCCAUUUCAAGUCCUAUGUUGCAGCGUGCUGCAGGUGUUGACGAGCGUAGAGUAGCCAAUGUUUCGGGGGAUUUGUUCAUAUGGUUCUUAGAAUACGAUUGAACUGCUCCUCAGGUUCACCACAUACACUUGACAGCUGUUCACUUUUUAUUGCAGUUUAGGCAAGUGGACUCUUGUUGGAUGCUGCUGCAUGUCACCCACAUUUACUCCCCAUCUUUCACUUCCCAAUUAAGUAUCCCAUACCAUCACAAAACCCCCUGUGGCUACACUGUACCACCUACAUUUUCUCUUGUUUUGCAUUUUGGUGUGCUCUGUUUCUAUUCUGUAAAUAUAAAAAAUCUUGAUUUUAGGAAUUUGUUUGUCAUUUACUGUGCUGUACUUCUGCCCAUUAAGAUUGCUAUGCAAUGAAAUGUGUUCUAUGAAUAAAAUGUUUUAUUACAA